AGAGUUUGAUCCUGGACUCAGGAUGAACGCUAGCGGCAGGCUUAAUACAUGCAAGUCGUACGGGAUUUCGGGUAGCAAUACCUGGAUGAGAGUGGCGCACGGGUGCGUAACGCGUAUGCAACCUACCUUUAACCGGGACACAACCAUGAGAAAUUGUGGCUAAUAUCCCAUAACACUGCGAUGUGGCAUCACAAUAUAGUUAAAGCUUCGGCGGUAAAAGAUUGGCAUGCUUGACAUUAGAUUGUUGUCGGGGGAACGGCCCACCAAGUCUGCGAUGUCUAGGGGUUCUGAGAGGAUGAUCCCCCACACUGGUACUGAGACACGGACCAGACUCCUACGGGAGGCAGCAGUGAGGAAUAUUGGUCAAUGGGCGCAAGCCUGAACCAGCCAUCCCGCGUGAAGGAAGACUGCCCUAUGGGUUGUAAACUGCUUUUAUACGGGAAGAAACCUUCGGACGUGGUUCGGAGCUGACGGUACCGUAAGAAUAAGCACCGGCUAACUCCGUGCCAGCAGCCGCGGUAAUACGGAGGAUGCAGGCGUUAUCCGGAUUUAUUGGGUUUAAAGGGUGCGCAGGCGGGCUAUUAAGUCAGCGGUGAAAUCCUACAGCUUAACUGUAGAACUGCCGUUGAUACUGAUAGUCUUGAGUUUGGUUGAGGUAGGCGGAAUGUGUCAUGUAGCGGUGAAAUGCUUAGAUAUGACACAGAACACCGAUUGCGAAGGCAACUCGCUAAGCUGUAACUGACGCUCAGGCACGAAAGCGUGGGGACCAAACAGGAUUAGAUACCCUGGUAGUCCACGCCGUAAACGAUGAUUACUCGAUGUUGGCGAUAUACCGUCAGCGUCCAAGCGAAAGCGUUAAGUUAUCCACCUGGGGAGUACGAUCGCAAGAUUGAAACUCAAAGGAAUUGACGGGGGCCCGCACAAGCGGAGGAGCAUGUGGUUUAAUUCGAUGAUACGCGAGGAACCUUACCUGGGCUCAAACGUAGAGUGACCGACUGUGAAAGCAGUCUUCCCUUCGGGGCAGUCUACGAGGUGCUGCAUGGUUGUCGUCAGCUCGUGCCGUGAGGUGUCGGGUUAAGUCCCAUAACGAGCGCAACCCCUAUCUUUAGUUGCCAUCAGGUCAUGCUGGGGACUCUAAAGAAACUGCCUACGCAAGUAGUGAGGAAGGUGGGGAUGACGUCAAAUCAGCACGGCCCUUACGUCCAGGGCUACACACGUGCUACAAUGGCCGAUACAGAGGGCAGCUACCUGGUGACAGGAUGCAAAUCUCGAAAAUCGGUCUCAGUUCGGAUCGAAGUCUGCAACUCGACUUCGUGAAGUUGGAUUCGCUAGUAAUCGCAUAUCAGCCAUGAUGCGGUGAAUACGUUCCCGGGCCUUGUACACACCGCCCGUCAAGCCAUGGAAGCUGGGAGUACCUGAAGUUCGUCACCGUAAGGAGCGACCUAGGGUAAAACUAGUAACUAGGGCUAAGUCGGAACAAGGUAGCGUACCGGAAGGUGUGGUUGGAUCACCUCCUU
rnacentral:rRNA from 1 species